ensembl:lncRNA
UUUAUUUCUUCAAACAAAAAAGACCUAGGUCCUUAAAGAAUAAAGCUUUUGACCAGAACAAAGUUAAUCUACCUCUAAAUAUUGUCCUAUCCUAUGUAAGGCUGUUACUUAGAACAUGAAAGUUUCCUCAUGCUUCAUGCACAGCUCUAGAAAACUACAUGUGUCGGUACUAUCGCCAGUUCUUACAUCCUUGACUACAUAUUUUUCUGUGUCCAACUUCCCAAAAAAAAUCCCGGGCAGCAUAUUACUUGAUCAGGAUGGUGUUGCACUUUGUUACCCCUCUUUUCAGUAUUCAUUGCACAGGUUCUAGACACGUUUAAAAGCAAACCAACUGAAGCAGACAAAAAGCUCCUUCAAAAACAACCUUUGGCGUCCACUGGAGGAGGCAAAAAGUGGAGCACAUUUUUCAUAAUCAGUGACAGUUGCUCUAGUCAGCCGGAGUAAUCAUUUAGCACAAGCACAACUGUCUUCGAAGGCAUGUGACUGAUUGACGAGGGUCUAAAGGAAUAAAGGAUGACGUUGGGUGUAAGAUUUGAGAAGCAAAAAGCAGGACCUCCAAUGAAGGAGGGUAGACACUAAUUGAUCUUGACUGGAAAUGUUAAUGUAAGACUUUAUUCCAAAGGAUUGUCUGAUAAUAGAUGCCCUCCUUGAACAUCUUGACUCCUUAUUGUCUUUGAGCCAUCGCCAAUUAAAUCUGUGGUACGGCAUGUCUGAGGGAGACAUUGAGUAGAGCAGACAGGCGCAAACACAAGACCGUGAGACAUCUAGUGCUCACAUCGACAGGUGUGAAGUGGCCGCGCAUUGAUUACACACUUAAUUUAACGUCUACAAAGAGGACUGAUUCUUGGGAAUAGACAAAGUCUUGUACUCUUUUCCUUAUAUUGCUGGUCUACCUGGUCUUGGCGUCUCCUUUUAAUACAUUUUUCUGGCGAAAUACUUUCUAAGUACUAUAAAUGGACUCCACUGCCACCAGUCAUAGCUAUAUUUGUCUUAAGUAUUGUACGUGACCACAUUAGCCUGGCUCGCCAGACUCGUCAGGAAAGUCGAUCAGAAUGUGAAUCGUGUCUGGCCUUCUCCAAUCUCAGAAUUCAAAAGCGUGAACUGAGUUUUUUCUCCUUUUCCUUUAUAGUGUAUAUUUUUAUGUGAGGAGAAGCUUGUUCAGCCAUUUUCUCCUAAUGGAGCUGGAAGGUUCAGUUGCUACUGAAUAGAAGUGCAGCAGAACGUUCCAGCAAUAAACACUUGUGUUUUCAUUGGUCAUAGAAGACAUAUAGUCUUCUUGGGUAUGUGUUACGUUCCAGCUCCCAAGAGGGAGGGGAACAUGACAACCCACUGCUCGGGGCCACCGAUGCCAGCAACAGGGCUAUGGAGUCGCGGUGUGAGAAAACAGACACAAAAUACUGUAUAACGCUUUUAUCUAAACACAAAAAUAAUAAACAAUAACUUUCUGGGAAAAGGGGAGGGCUGGAUGGACCAAAAAAAAGAAAUAAACAAAAGGUCCCCCCCCCCCUAACCUGUAACCCCCAAUAGAAAUAGAAAAUAAAAGCUCUACCUGGCACACGGUCAAGGCGCCCUAACCAAACAUACAGGUUGUGGUCCGCCCAGGUCUAAACUCGUGUUUCUAGACAGAAGUAAACCUACGGGUGACGUGAAAAGACACAAACAAACAAUUGCUCCCUCCUGCAGCUACACGUUCCAAAAGGAACACAAGUUAUUUAACACAACUAUCGAAAUCGAAAAUAUCCCCACACAGGGUACAAACCAAAGACCACAUAACAGGAUAUGCAGCGAGAGAGAACUGGUCCAAAACUGGGCUUUUUAAAGAGCCCAGCCAGCUGCGAUCACUGACAAGGGGGUGGAGCUCUGGGUCCCAAUCCUACCUGGGAAACAAACAAACAAACAAACACACACAAGCAAUCCCCGAAUCAGAAUCAUACGAACCCAGAAGGCCGCGGUUCUGAUUGUACAUUCUUUUGAGGAAUGUACGAGGAUUAUGGUCUGUGAAUACUCUUACAGGCACAACACUAGAACCGACGUAUACCUCAAAAAACUGUAAGGCCAACUGUAGCGGCUUAUACACAACAAAAACUAUCCACACACACACACACACACAACUACAAGCAAUCCCCGAAUCAGACGAACCACAAGCGUGGCACACCUAUUUCUGGGAAGUUUCUUCCAUUCUUCUUUGCAGAACCUCCAUCAGAAGUUCCAUCAAGUUGGAUGGGGAGCGUCAGUGCACAGCCAUUUUCAGAUCUCUCCAGAGAUGUUCAAUCGGGUUCAAGUCAGGGCUCUGGCUGGGCCACUCAAGGACAUUCACAGAGUUGUCCCAAAGGCUGGCUGUGUGCUUCGGGUCGUUGUCCUGUUGGAAGAUGAACCGUCGCCCCAGUCUGGGGUCCAGAGCACUUUGGAGCAUGUUUUCAUCGAGGAUGUCUCUGUACAAGCUGCAUUCAUCAUUUCCCUCAAUCCUGACUAGUCUCCCAGUUCCUCCCGCUGAAAAACAGCCCCACAGCAUGAUGCUGCCACCACCAUGCUUCACUGUAGGGAUGGUAUUGGCCAGGUGAUGAGCAGUGCCUGGUUUCCUCCAGACAUGACGCUUGGCAUUCAGGGCAAAGAGUUCUUUGUUUCAUUAGACCAGAGAAUUUUGUUUCUCAUUGUCUGAGAGUCCUUCAGGCGGGCUGUCAUGUGCUUUUUACUAAAGGAGUGGCUUCUGUCUGGCCACUCUACCAAACAGGCCUGAUUUGUGGAGUGCUGCAGAGAUGGUUGUCCUUCUGGAAAGUUCUCCUCUCUUCAUAGAACAACGCUGGAGCUCUGUCAGAGUGACCAUUGGGUGCCCGGUCACCUCCCUGACUAAGGCCCUUCUCCCCCGAUCGCUCAGUCUGGCUGUGCGGCCCACUCUAGGAAGAGUCCUGGUGGUUCCAAACUUCUUCCAUUUCUGGAUGAUGGAGGCCAAUGUGCUCAUUGUGACUUUCAAUGUUGCAGAAAUCUUUCUGUACCAUUCACCAGAUCUGUGCCUCCAUACAAUUCUGUCUCGGAGAUCUACAGUUAAUUUCUUGGACUAUGCACUGUCAACUGUGAUACCUUAUAUAGACAUGUAUGUGCCUUUCUCAAUCCUGUCCAAUCAACUAAAUUUAGCACAGGUGGACGCCAAUCAAGUUGUAGAAACAUCUCAAGGAUGAUCAGUGGAAACAGGAUGCACCUGAGCAAAAUUUUUAGUGUCAUGGCAAAGGCUGUGAAUACUUAUGUGAUGUUUUUGUUCUUUAUUUUUAACAGAUUUGCAAAAAACAGUUUUCACUUUGUCAUUAUGGGUUGUGUAGAAUGUUGAGGAAAAAAAUGAAUUUAAUCAAUUUUAUAAUAAGGCUGUAACAUAACAAAUUGUGGAAAAAGUGAAGCGCUGUGAAUACUUUCCGGAUGCACUGUAUUAUGUGGUAUGACACAGUACAUGACAUGAUAUGAUUUAAUGUACUACCCGUUUAGAGCAACAUACUAUGUGUCAGCUUGCCAACAUGUCGGGAUUAGCACUAAACACAAAAACACUGCCUGCACUGUGGGUGAGUGGGGAGCGUGGGCGUCCUCCCCCAUGUUGUUGUUUCCUUCGGUGAGGCACUUUGCCCCGAUAUCGCCACCCGUAGCCGUGACGGCCGCGUGUGAGUGUUAGUUACUGAUGGUGAGGUGACACUGUAUGGUAGCUCCUGUCAUCAGUGUAUGAGUUGGUGUGAAUGGGGUAAAUUACAUGUAAUGUAAAAUUGCUUUUUGUGGUCAGAAGUAGAAUUAACCAAAAUCUAAUAUAGGUGCUAGAUGUCAAGGGAUCAGAAAAGCUAUUGGAGUGAACUUCGUGUGAGAUUUUAGGUCUUACACAUUUGAGACUAGUUAAUAGUUAAUACUACUACUGUGCUCUUACUACUACAAAUACUAUUAAUACACAAUUCCUACUGUAACUACCCAUAGUAAAAAAAGUAUUAUUACUAAUACUACUAGUCCUAUUACUACUAGAUAUUUUAAAAUAUGUUCGUUUUUCCUACGGUCCAUAAUUACACCAACCUCUCUGGAAAUAGUCCUGAGAGGUCCCUGGUCCAUAGUCAUUGAGGGAAAUUGGACAUGUGACAGGCUCCACAACAUAAUGUUAAUAAUAGCGAUAAAACUACAAAUAUGUGUAUUUAUCACAUGAUUCCAGCUAUUGCUUUUAAAUUACAAAGCAAAAAAAAAAAGAAUAGCAUUGGCCGGUAUCCCAAAUUAUUUGCAUGUUGUAAUUUAUCACAAACAGCAGCUCUAUCUCUAGCAGCUGCUUUGCGCAAGUAUUGCGAGGGGAAAAUCUGUACUGCAUUUGUUCCAGAGACAUCUUUCGAGCACUGCUAGCAUGGUUGAAAAUAUUGAAGGGAACAUAUAAUAAUUUAAAUAGAAAUAUCCUCUCAUCAACUUUUUAUACUGCAUUCACACAAAGUCAGAAACAAAAAAGAUAUUCUUUGUAUAAUAUCAGAAAACUUAUUGUUAAACUUAAAUGGACUGUGUAAAUUAUUGUAUUAUCAAUUUAAAACUUCUGUUUUUCAAUCAAAUUACCAUGCUAUACCGUCAUUUAUUUCUUAUCAUGCUCUCUUUGAUUACAUAUAUAGAGCAAUAGCAGGAUGGUGUACUUCUAAUGUGCGCUGUACUAGUCUGUGUUUAUUAUGAGCUCCAGGGGGAGAAUCAAAUGAUGUGGCUUUGUGUCAGCUUGCUCAUGAUCAAUUACUGCUCGGGACAAAUUCUUUUUCACUCAGACAAUCUGGGAAAAUAUUCAACAAACUGGGACAAAUAUUGACUAGUCAAUAUUUGGACUUCAGUGAAAGAAAAAACGAAAAACAAAAUACUUGUAGUAGAGUAGAGUAAAGAGUAGAGUAAUUUUUCACCUCCUAGAUUCUGGUUGUCUGCAGGACAGAGACAGAGGAAUACACGACUAAUAAGUUUUGAUUGAUAAAUACAAGAACAAACCAUUUCAUUGCUACAUUUAGUAAAAUUGUAGUUAUUGCAUUUUUUUAUUUGACAACAUGUUGUACAACUAUAGAUUUAAUUUAUGUAUCAGGAAAAAUGUAUUGGAUUGGGUCCAUUCUACAUCCAGGACUUGGUCAAACCCGACAUCCCGACCCGUGCACUCCGCUCUGCAUCUGCCAAACUGUAUCCUUAUGGUUAAAAUGCCGCUAAAAGCCGCUGUUAAAUUCUUACUUCCAUGCUUGUCAUAGUAUCUUAACAUGACCCCAACAUCAGUCAAUCCAUAGCCUUCGCUUGAUGCUACUGUAUCACUCACCCAUUACAAAUGCAGUCAAACUGAAAUAUUUAGAGGAUGUUAACUCAUCACAUAAAACUGUUCUUUUGUGUACAAUUCGGAUGAUUUGUGAUCUGAUAUGCAACCAUAUCAGCCGCAGAUCUUACUGCUGUGAACAGCUGCUUUUUUGCUUAUCCAAUCAAACACAAUUAGUAUCUCCAACAUAAACACUACACUUUUUUCUAAUCUCUCUUUCUGUCUCUCUUUCAAACACACACACACACACACACACACACACACACACACAUUGCUACAAAUGCAUGAUUCCCCGCCCUUCAUUAACACCACUUGCCUACAGGGAGCCGGCAAAGUUAAGUGAGCUCUCCAUCUGUUAAAUUAGGGAGUGUCAAAACUUUUAGCUGCUGAGUGAUCCGGAGACAUAAUCCCAUGUCUCCUUGGGUAAUGAAUUGUACUCAUGCUAAUUGGCACUCACGUGGCCCGGCAGUAGCAGUGAGAAUGUCCUAAUCAAAUAGACUUAUGGUUUUGUCAUGUCUAGGACUUCUCUUCUCUCUGGGGCUGACUGGAUGGGCCCAAACACGGACCUCUGAUGCUCACCCUUUCCUAAUAUAUCCCACUGAAGGUAACUUUACAGACCAUACAGAGCAACAUUAAACAUUUGCAGGGAGAAAGAUGGUUGACUUGCUUUUCACACACACAGUAGACACAUUGUAUACUGCUCAAAAACUUUGUUUUGAUGGAUUUACUCUUUAAAUAUUGGUCUUUGGGUCCGCUUUUAUGGAUGACAAAUACGUUCGUUAACAUAAUCAGAAUAGAAAAAAAAAACACCAUUUUGUUAACCUGGCCUUUCAAAAACGGUAUUUCUGAUGUGGUGCCAUCAGCCCUGAGUCGAUAAGAGUGAUAGAAUGAUAGUGUGAGUGUGACACAGAGAAGCAGAAAGUCUUCAGGGGUGAAUGGAGUAGAGGCUGUCUCUGUUGCUAAACAUUGGCUAUAAUGGAGGCCAAGGAUUAAAUGGCACACUUUUAUGCCCCUGCACCCACACACACACACACACACACACAUAGAAUUUCAUCAGGGGUUUAUCCGGCCUUUUAUUUGCCUUUAUCGAGCAUGGCGGAGGCAGCCAGCUCACCGUUAACAAUGUCGGGCUUAAGUCAUUUCACACAACACUACUUGGUCUUGUAAGCUGACAACUUUAAUAUUCCCUUAAGACCUUGGCUGGCUCUGUUGUUGGGCUUAUCGGGCGAGGAAAGUGGCGCAACCAGUUUGUUUUUAGCACCAAGACACCGCAGCGUGUGGCGAGUUGCGCUAAUUUCAAGCCUGGAAGAGCCGUUACUGGGAGGUGGGUAUUACUCCCACUGGCACACGAAACAGAUAGAGGGACAUUGCUCAUGGAUCUACUACAUGCUGCACUGGGUUUAAGGGUCCAAUACUGGUUGUCGGUAUACUUAUUAAGGCUUUCACUUGCAAUUUAUUCUAGGGUUUGUCGUCAGCAUGUGUGUGUACCCCAUGUGUUGUGCUUCUGGGUUGGGGGUGCAAGGGGUUCAUCUGCAUGUUUUUUUUAAUUAACCUGGUGCUCCCCUACUAUCCACGUUGCCACGGCUUGGCUGACCUUACACUGAUUUGUGGUGCAAUAAAAGUGACAAGGUUAUGGAAAUACAGGCUGAUGCAGGAUGUGAGAUGUGCAGGUUCCUGGACCAACCUUUAACUUGCCGACAGAAGCCAUUAUCCUUGAUGUAAGAUGAAGAGGGGUAAGAAUAAAAGGCUCCUUGCAUUUAAUGCGGCACUGCCUUCGGAGCUCCUUGGUGGGAGUCACACACUUAUAAAUGACUUAAGAAUGACUCACAAAAAACCCCAGAGAGAGACGGGAAGGCUGAUAUGAAUGGGAUACGACACAGGGAUAGAAACCGCAAACAACUUCUUUGUAGCAGUGUCACAAUUUCGAACUCAAAAUCAAAAAUCAGAAUUGGACGUUUACCAGGUGUUUCCUGACGAAAGGGAAAGCCAACCAAUGGACCAGAAUUUACCGGUAGUAUGAUACUGCACUUUUUGAAACUCCACUCCCGGGAUCCGACAUGACAGCAAAAGAACACAAUUGGAAAUUCCUGCUAUCCUGAAGUGACCAGUGUGGCGCGAUAGUUUGCCCACCUGACAGCUGCUUAAACUGUAUUUCAACCAUUGUUAGCAGCCUAUCAGCUUGUUCAGCUGUUCCUUUUUGUCCACACUUAUGCCAGCGCAUUCACCUGUUUGUUAUUUCAGUGGGUUGCUGUUGGUGUGUUUUGUAUUCUCCAGCCCAAACUGAAUCCCCUUCAAAUAUGGUGAUUUUAUCACUAGAUACCAUGUUGCCUGACAGCUGUAGCUGUUAAAUGAACUGCAGUCAGCAUCCUAUUCCUGGUGUGCGUAUACUCACAGAUUCCUAGGAAAGCAUCCUAGGAAUCUGCCAAAACAGUUUAAUUAUUAAUUAAUAAUAAGUUAUUAUAUUAGGAAGAAUAUCACUAACUAAUGUUCCUUAUUGUAAGGGGCUGAAGGGCAGAAUGGUGGAGGGAGUAUACGUUUCAGCCAGAACACUUCACCCGUUCCAUCAGGGGAAGUGAGAUCAGGUGUGUCAGGAGACACACCUGGACCUCAUCUCCUCAUCAAGGAGUGGGUACAAAGGGACAAGCAGGAGAAGACGACAGGGGGGGAGACAUGUUAGGAGAGGGGCAGUGUGCGCGCCCGCUUACCGCGCCAGGGUGGAACACUUAAUCUGUGCACACCAAACUGCAAAGUUGACCUUCACAUAGGGUAGAUCUUAACUACACACCUGUAAUGUUUCGUGACUGCAUUUUGUACUGUUGUGAUGCAAUUGUGCUGCCACAAGUAGACAGAAAGAAAUAUAAACUCAUGAUGAUAAAUGAUAAUCUGUCAAAUAUACAGUAUACAGUUUCACUUAACAUUGGCAAACCUAUAUACCGUAAAAUAUGUAUGUAUACUGUUCAUGAUUAGAAAUAUUCCCCAUCUUAAAACCUGACAAAGAGGCCUAUAUUUUCACAUUAUAUAGCUGCCAUACACUAUUAAGAUAAUAGCAUUAGAUUUAGUCAACAUUCUGGGCUCCUAACACACACCCUCUCAAUAUUACCUCAUAUUACUUUUGAAUGAUUUAAUUCUCAAUCUGAAAUGACAUGGGGCUCAAACGUUGCGUGAAUCGCUCAACAGUAGAUCUGCCUUGACGAUCUUGGACCCACUAUGUUUAUCAAUUAAAUUAUAAAAACUUAAAGGAGAGAAUGCAAUGAUCCAAUUGAGUUUUGUAUUACUUGUGACUGAAUAGAUCUAACAGACGGGAAUGCUUGAUUCAAUAUAUAUACACACACACAACGUUUUUCUCUCAAUAUUCCUUAUACAUUAAAAAUGUGAUAUGGGUUCAUCCAGCAGCACAUAAUUAUCUUGUCUUUCCAGUUAAUUAGCAUCAUAUAAGGAGCUGCAGCACACAUGGUGCCUGCCCGUCACAUAGCAUGGCAAACAUAAUAAGGUGCCUUGAGGGAAGUGCACUACGGUCAGAAGGUAGGUGUCUUUCCCAUUGGAGUUGUACCCAGUUUCCAUGUAUUUGAACAAAGGCUUGAUCUAUCAAUUAGGACAUAAAUAGGUAAUAAACACAAAAUAUUAAUUUAAGAAGUGCCUUCAACUCAGUUAUGUCAUGACACCUAUUUACGUUUGUAAUUAUUUAAAGCUAUUUAUUGUCUUAUUUUAUCUUUACCCUGAGUCUGAAUUUGGGUAUAGUGGAUUGAUUGAUUGAAGAGCAUGAUAUUUGGUGUAUUAAUAGUUGAUACCUGAAUGUGAGAGUAUGAUUUUUGUUAGGUCUAGAUUAUUUUCAAUUUGAUAAAUCUGUGAUUAUUCUUUUGUCUCAAAUAAUUCAUUGUUUGGUAAAAUAGCAGAAAUGAAAUGUUCAUCACAAUUUACUGAAGCUUACGAGAAUUUAAAGAUAUCUCAUUUUUGUUAUGACAAAAUAUAAGGCAAAGGACCAAGUACUCACAACUGAGAAGUUUGAGAAGAAAUUGAAAUGGUUCAGUAUUUUUGUUUGAAAAAUGUACUUGUAUGUACUAAUUUUUCUGAUAAGAAUCAUACUAAUAAAUUAUCCUGAUCAUUGAAAUAACACUAUGCAUUCUCAAAUCCAGAAAUAAAGAGAAUACAUCAGUUGCAAUUUGCUUUUCAAUAUUGAUUGUCAAGUUGCAUACAAUAAUCAUUUCAACCGCUGGCACACACCCCAUUCAAACCAAAACAACUAAACAAACUGUUUCCCCCUCCAUGCCUCACCUGCAGCCAAUACUAAUAUGGCUGGUUAACACCACGGAGGGAGGUAUCAGCAGUCAGCAAUCAAUCCAUGGCAAAAGCUGAGAAAGCAUGAUUCACCGCAGCACCUCCCUGAGCAUGCAAGCAUGUAUGAGAAUUAAAAAUAUUAUGCAAGUUGGUGCAGCAGUAUGUGCUGUUGACAGAGACUGAGAUAAACUUGCUGUACAUACUGAUCAUACUGAUACACGGACACACACACGUAACCAUUGUAACUAUCUCCUUGUGGAAAUAACAAAUCAUAAAAUCCAAUUUGUUGAUUUUAAAACCUUACUGGUUAUUACUGGUUUAACCCUCUGCAAAUAAGUAUUUUGCCUUUUUACAGUUUUCUUUUUUUUCUAUUUUUUUAUCCUGUUUUGUAAAAUAGUUUCUGGCAGUGUUCAUUGAUCCGCCGCAAGUCGUGCCCGGAUGUUGUUUUGGAGAUUGGGCCGGAUGAAGCAAUUUAUGUAAGCCACAGUUGAAGUCAUCAGGGGAAGGAGAGAUUUAGUAGCACAUCCAUGUUAGAGGCGAAGUACUGCGAUAAUACCAAUAUCAACCCAUUCACGCUGUGCUUAAGCACAUCCACGAAUUACUGAGCCCGGCGGCCGCUGCGGAAUGGUGAAUAUCACCGCUCUGCAUGAACAUCUGUUCAUUACAUUCGAACUGCUACAUUGCCAGCUGUGUAAAUUAACUGGGAUUGCGUGGCACAGUAAACUGGGAGAAAAGAGAGAGAAGCUGUACAUUUUUGUGUUUCAAAAACUAUCUAUGAUUUGUAAUGCAAAAAUGCAUUUGUACUGUAGGUCUGCUGAUGUUUGACUUUCUCAUUAGCAUAAGUACACAAUAAAGAUUAAGUUAAUUAAAAUACAGAAGAAGUAACCUGUGUAGUCGCACGUAUUUAAAAAAAGAGAUUGCAUUAAUCUAUUAAACAGGAUUUGAGUGCUCUAAAAAUAGCCUUUCUGACGUCAGCUACAUUCUCUACUAAAGUGUACUAAACUUUCAUUGUAUAGCUUUGGUAAUCAAAAAUGAAUUACUGGAAACAAAUUAGAAAGGCACCGGUAUACAAUAAGGAACAAGUAAGAAGCAAGACUAUUAACAAGGACUGAGGUCUACAGUGUAAAUAUAUUUGCAGUUGAGUCUGGGUAAUAAAACUGCACUUAAAACAAGGGAUUGCUUUGUUUUUAUGACCGUGUUACAUCACCAACAGGACAAGGUCACUCUGAAACAGGUGUUUUGCCCCAUAUAUCAGUUUCUUGCUGAUCAUUUUUGUGAAGAAACACACUGGUGACAUAAUUUCAGCUUUCAGUCCAUUGAACAAUACAUAUCUCAAAUAUUCAAGAAGGUACUUGAUAUACCUGGUACUUGAACACUUUUGCUAAUGGAUUAUCAGUUUUACUGUAAAGCCUGCAUCUUAUUUUAUUAUUUACUAAACAAUUUUAUAAGAGCUGUAUCCAGCAAUAAUGUGCUGUAUAUUUUAUUUCAUUAGGAAAAUACACAAUUGUUAGACUGAUUGAGCUUGACUUUAUCUCUCCUUACAAAGGAGGGGAGAGAAAAAUACUCAAGUAAUUGUUAUGGCAUAUUACCUGUCUCUUGGAAAAUAAAUAUUUCAAUGUAUUCGUUGUGGAGAAGUCCACUGCAUGUUUGACUUUCAAACAAGUUGAAGUAGUAACCAAAGUUUUUCCUUUUUGACAAGUGGAGAGCUCACUGUCUUGAUUCAAUUUUUUCAACUUUUUUUUUAUCCAAACACAGUAAAACGUCCUAUUGUCCCCGUAGCUGUCAACAUUUGCAUUCAAAGGGAUGUAUUCGUCCAGUGGGACACACGCACGUAUAAACAAUGACAAACACAUUCAUGAAUAAUACAUCCGGUGGAACUGCUCGAAGAACACUAACGUUGUAAGAGGACCAACCCUGCAGGUUUUAAGAUUCAUUGUAUUUUUAAGAAAAAACAAUAUUUCAAGACGUACAUCUUUACUUACAGAAAGAUAUCGUCAUGGAAAGCUGUUGUGCAUUUUGCUGUAUUGUACCCGUCUCUUUGCACACAGCAAACCAAUGCAACAGCUCAGUUAUUUUUGUUUUCAUCUCCUCCCUGACCUGACUGAGCAAUUAGUUCAUAAGAUAUUUGUCCUUUCCCCAUUUAAAUGAAACACAAUCACUUCUUUACGGGUACAGCUUUACAGAUAUGUUUUUGUAAGGAGACAGGAACACAGUAGUGAAAGAAACCAUGCAUCCACCCCAAUUAACAUUAAUGAAGGAGAUUAUUCCACCACGAAGGGUGACAAAGGGGCCAAGUCUCAAAAGACACUCACAGCGACUGAGGGAGGUGAAAGGAAGUGUAUAUUAACAAACAAGGAUCUUCCUUGACACUUUAAUUGGCAUUUAACCGCUGGUGUCAGCCAUUUAGUCAUCGCAAAGCCACACAACGCAAAAGUUAAAUUUGAGGAAAAAUAUACAUCUAAACUGUGCACUUCAUCAACCUAACUUAGUCUCCUUCGCCUCUGUGUUCCACUCCAGUGCCAUUAAACCACCGUAACUCCCCCCAAGAAUUCUGGUAGAUAUGACAAGCCCACGUUGUUAUGACCCUCCUCACUUUCCACUGGUAACUGGCUCUUAAUUGCCAUCUUCUGUCGUCCGGGUGCACGGUAGACACUAACUCGGCAUCACAGAAUGCGGAGAGUACAUUAUGUUACAUAAACUCCCUCGUAAUGCUCGAUGAAAGGCUUUGCUCUGUAAGUCUCAGCUGGUGUGGAGCUACAGCAAAGGAUGGACGCUGGAGUGAAAAAUGAACGAACCUUUGAGUUAGUUGUCAAGUGUUGACAGAUCCUUGCAGUAAACACUUGCACUACUGUUACGCACUCCUCUAAGAAGAGGAUACCGUAACACGUGAGCUGGCCACAAGGUGGGUGAGGCGAAAAAAAUGGCGUGGGCGCAAAAGCAGGACCAACAAAACACAGUACCGUUUAAACAAGGUUUAUUUCACCUAUAAUACGGUAGUGGGGGAAAAGGGGCUGAGCGGAACCAAAGCAACGAAAUUAACCAAUGAAAAACACCCUAACCUAUCUAGUCUAAACACAAUCUGCUAAACUCUAUGAUAAAUACAGGGGAUAGUCCGCCCAGGUCUUACCUAGUGUAUAUAGACAGAGGUUUAUCUACGGGUAGUAUGUAAACCCCAGGGUCUCUUACCUACACACUCCCAUGGUGCGGUCCCCUUUUCCCUGGGACAACUGAAGAAACAAAAAAGGAAUAGUACAAACAACGUGAUAACAACAGACAUAAUAACAACAACUUAACCUUCACCAGUUCAAAUGACCAAAUACAUACGUAAACAAAACAAAAGAACUGUCACUUGAACACAGCUCCGCUCAGAACAAUAGUUCCUUCGAAAAGUUAUUUUUCACAACAGUCCUCCCGCUCUCUCCACCAGCUCUGCCUCCUUGUCUCUCCCUCCGGACCUCCUUUUAAGCCACGGCAUCCUGCAGUUGAUUGGCUGUGGGUGAGGGUGAUUAGUGGGAGCGGGCAGUGGAGAUUACUGCAUGGUCAUCACGGCCAUCAUCGAGUCCAUCCAUCGAGUCCAUCCUCUGCUCCUCCAUCACCGUCUGGUACGCUGCAGCCACAGCCAAGGACAAGGGCAGGCUGCAGCGUGUCAUCCGCUCUGCAGAGAGGGUGAUCGGCUGCAAUCUGCCGUCUCUGCAGGACUUGUUCGCUUCCAGGUCUCUGAAGCGAGCUAAAAAGAUCGUGGCCGACCCCUCUCACCCCGGACAAAAACUGUUUGUGCCCCUUCCAUCUGGCAAGAGGCUGAGGUCCAUCAGGACUAAGACCUCCCGCCACACGAACAGUUUCUUCCCAUCGGCAGUCGGGCUCAUCAAUAGAGCCGGUCCCCCACUGACUGACUAUAACAUUCCACCGGUCACUCCCCUUGAACUGCACAUGCCACUUUAACUGCAAUUCAUCACUUUGUCGUCACUCGUCACUUAGUUACUUGUCUGUUACUUGUUCGUUAGUGCACUUUAUGCUUAAUAUUUUUCUUUUUAACUUUUUAAUUAUCAAAAUUUUUAACUUUAUUCCCUUGUUUCAUACUAACCCAUAGCCUUAGCCUUAUUCUACUAACCCAUUGCAUUAGCAUUUCAUUCUACUUUAUUUUAUUACUUGUGCACUGUUGUCUUGUCUGUCUACUGUCGCGCACUAACCGGCAAGACAAAUUCCUUGUAUGUUUGGCAUAUUUUGGCAAAUAAAUGUUUCCUGAUUCCUGAUUCAUGGUGGGUGUGUCAGAAGACCUGUGGGAACACAAAUCACAACACACACACACACACACACACCCUCCCCCAAGCAGGCCGAGGCACGUAACAACUACAUUAAAGAAACUGUUUGUUUUUGCAUUUGACCCUUUACAAUCGGCAUAUAGUUGGGAUCGGGAAACAAGAUAUCUACUAGGGAAAGGGCUCACCUUCCCCCAUUACCCUGUGCAACUCUUCCCGUCUUCUUGGUGAUGGAGAUGAAAGAAGGCUCAGCAGAGGUUGUUCUUCCUGAGGCAGCUGAAGAAAUUCAACCUGCCAAAGACGAUGAUGGUUCACUUCUACACGGCCAUCAUCGAGUCCAUCCUCUGCUCCUCCAUCACCGUCUGACCCCGGACAAAAACUGUUUGUGCCCCUUCCAUCUGGCAGGAGGCUGAGGUCCAUCAAGAUUAAGACCUCCCGCCACACCAAUAGUUUCUUCCCGUCUGCAGUUGGGCUCAUCAACAGAGCCCGGUCCCCCACUGUCUGACUAUGACAUUCCACCGGUCACUCUGCUUCAUACUGCACAUGUCAACUGUAAUUUUCCACUCGUUACUUUGUUGUCACUUUGUCGUCACUCGUCACUUUGUCACUUGUUCGAUAGUGCACUUUAUUUUUUAAUAUUUUGUAACUUUUAAAAUAUUUUUAACUUUAACUUUAUUCUCUUAUUUUAUACUAACCCAUAGCCAUAUUCUACUAACCAUUGCAUUAGCAUUUCAUUUUAUUUUAUUACUUGUGCACUGCUGUCUUGUCUAUUGUUACACUGUCUACUGCCACGUACCAACCGCCAAGACAAAUUCCUUGUAUGUUUGACCUAUUUUGGCAAUAAAUGUUUCCUGAUUCCUCCUAAACUAAAAAAGUUUACAGUUUAAUAUAUUUAAUGUCUUUUGAAAGUUGACAAGUGGAGUGAUUUCAAUAUCUCCAGUAUCAACUGGGUGAACACCAGGUAGGAAAAACAUUUGCUUAACCUUCAUUUAGGUUGAACUAAUUGAUCUUGACAUGGAAAUAGAGUCUUUUAAAAUAACUCUGUAAAGGUCUGACAGUGUUCUGCGCUGACAACUUUCAAUAAAAUUAAACAUACCAUUGCCAAUAGCGGGCUCUAACCCACUGUUUUCAUCUGGUAAGUGAGACUAAUUAUAUACCAUACACAUUGAAAAGACGGGGAAACUGAUUUAACUUUCUGUCUUUCUUUUUCCUUCCAGCAGUUGUCUGAUGAAACCAAAAACAUAACAUAGCCUGCAAAAAUGUCUCACUUAGCGACUGAUCAACACCUUUCCUGACUUUUGUAAAUAUUAAAAUAUCCAAUUACACCUCAAUAAAUAUAUGAGUUAUUAGAAGAAAGUAUUUUAUGACAGCAAAAUAUAUUACUAUUCAUCACUAUUUUUUAAUUUAGUUACUUGUGUUACAUUUCAAAGAACAUCUCAUUUGAAUUAAUUUUGAAGGCUUAGUUCAACCUUCUAAUCAGACAUUGCGGAUAUUACGUGGGAAAACGGAGGGAUGGGUUCAUUCUAAUCAAGAGUUAUUGUAGGUGCUUAACUAAAAUGAAUAAUUAUGAAGAUAGUUUGAGUCAAAUAUAAAGUGAGAGUGGACUUUAAUUUACCUCUUGUUUGAGCAAUCUCACAUCUCUUAAUCUUUGGCCUUUCUUACACUGCAACUGCACUGCUGAACUGAACAUUUGCCAAAAAGAAUCAUGAAGAGCCUUAACAAUCAUAUGCAAUUAGCCACUGAAUACAUUAGCCAUAACAACGGCCUGCCUCAGGUUUUGUAGAAUAGUAUCAAAUAUUAAUACCUAUCUGAUGAGUGCAGCAGGUUAUAGAAGAGGUGGGUUGAUGAGAACCGAUGUCAAAAUAAAGUUUGUUGAACUACUCCACUCGGUCUAUAAUAGUUUGAUGGUUAAGAAUAUUUGUGCUGCCUUGAGGUUCUUGUUUAGCUAUGGUUGUAUUUUUAAUAUGGUCAUUACUGUUAGCAAUAUCAUCAUUUAGGGGAAUUUUAUAAAUAUUACAUGUUGCAUUUUAAAUUCGUCUAGUUUUUGUUUGCCUUAUUGUAAUGCCAACAUGUUUAAUUGUUUGUUUGUAAAGCACUUUGUUUUAGAUUAUUAUUAACUGUAUUAUUUAGGCUUUUUUUAUUUUUUACUAUGGACCUAACGUGUGUGCAACACCUGUUACAUUAUUACUUUACUUUAAUUAAGAUCAUUUACUUGAUUAAGAUCAUAUUUGUUCAACAUCUGGUUGGACUAUUACAUGUAAUAUUAUAUUCAGUCUACACUUUGGUUUAGUGUUUGUCUGAGGGAGACCUUCAGUUUCUCCGAGUGUUGCUGAUAAAAUCAACGGCCGCAGUGAUUCCAGUACGCGGGGUAAAGCAAUUAACAAAAAAAAAAGACUCAUGUCCCGGAAAAUACUGGAACAUAGUGUUGAAAGUGAAUUACUAUAUUUUGCCGGAAACCAAUAAGUGGGAGUUUUUACGGACAAAUUAAUGACAAAAAGAAGCGACUGGAAGGAGGCCAAGCUAUAUUACAGCCCUUGAUUAGUUUCCUGAAACAAAUAUAUUAUGUUUUUUUAAUCUCUUUCUUGGUAGAGGCAAAAACACAUUAAUGUCUGUAAUAUGAUACAUGUGUUCCGGUGGGUAUGAUGCAAACAUGAUGUUUCCCCCAUGUUGUGAGUGCUGAUACUUCCCUGUGAGGGGCAUUACUGUUCCCAGCACCCUGCUGCUCCGACGGUCAUUGAAAACGGAUAUUUAUGGAGAAAUGUUGCUGAAUCAGACAUGGGGGCUUUUUUACUGCUACAAUUGACAGAAAGAAAUAUCAAUACUCACAGAGGGACGGGGGCGGAAUGAAAUGGGUGCAAUGAUCAAGAGAAGACAUAGCUUGUUUUCAUUAGGGAGUGGCUGAUAACAUCGGAUGAUUCAUCGCCAUCUUUCCCGCUGCUGUAAUUUUCUACAUGAGUUAGAGAUCUGUAACAACCAACCACAAUAUACUAUCCUCUCUGGUAUUUAAAUCAGCCUCCGCUCAGUACAUGUUUACAAAAAAAAGGAAUGUUUUAUGUUUUAGCUGUGACUGAUUUACAAUCACAUUUUUGCUGAUAAUAUCAUGAGAUGUCUGUGUUAUUUUAAAACUGGACCAUUCCAUAAAAGCAAUGUGCAUUUUGUUUUAGUAAAAAAUUACUUUUUGGGGUAAGGAAAGGUUCUUUUGAAGUUUACCCUGAUCCUCAGAAUAAAAUGGUUCAGAAAACAUCCAUUGUAUAUAAUGCAAGGUGCAUCCCUCGCGAUUCAAGGUUGUAUUUUUAUUUUUAGUUCUGCCGGAGGCACAUGAAAAAGAGCUUGCACAAAGUAAAGAACAGUUUGCAAGCUACUCUCACAAUGACUGAUACUUUGAUUACUCUGGAGAUAUGAAGUCCAUCCUAUCCUACAGCACUUGCUUUCAACUCUUACCUCGUUCAAUUUAUUGGCUUCACAAAAGGUUCAGAUCCUCAAAAAGAAUCCCUUUUUUGUAAGGUUAAAAAAUGAUGGCCUUAAAACUCAAUAAACAUGUUGACGAUGAGGUCUCAGACUCAUGUUCAUGGUUAAGACUGCAGGAUGAAUAACUACUGUGAUGAAGAAGAAAGGGAUGAAAAAUGAAUUAUAUUUUUACAAAAAGUGUGUAAUUAAAUGUCAGACUUUUUAAUUACAUUUAGAAGACAUUGAAGCGAAAACUCAAAAACAUAGCUCCGGUCUUAGGAUGUAUGUUUUGGGUGAUAGUCUGAAAGCCUUGUUUCAAUUUGUCGUAAUUAAUUUUCUGGUGGGAAAUUGUUAAUUAACGUCUGUUGGUUAUGUGCUUCGUUUCGUUGUCAAUGUCUUUUUUUAAUGUUUUUUAUAAAUACUUAACAGUUCAAAUAUUCUCAACUUUUCAGCAUCAGACCACUCAUCAUUGUAACACUUCUAAACUGUACCUGCUUUAAUACCUCUAGAUAGUUAGCUGCACUGUGAGAGAGUGAUUGAGUACGUGACAGAGAAAUGGGAGUUUAUUGUAGUCUUUGAGCGAGAGACGCACUGAUAAAUAAUAUAAAUAUAUUUGUCCAUGAAGCAAUAUUAUGGAAAUGUCUGGCAAACAAAUGCCAUUACUUACCCUUUCCCAUUGAGAGUAUAAGUUAAUAUCAGAAUGUAUACAUAUAGACGUUAAAGAAACACCACUCACCGUGAGAACUUGCCCUAUUUUUGGGGGUAAAAUACCAACCCAAUUAAUGCAAUGCAACAAAAGGAAUGUUCCCGUAUUUGCUGAGCUUAUUGAAUACAAGAAACUCCUUGGUGAAGACCAAGUAAUACAUAUUACUGUCAGGAAGAGAGCGUCCAUGGCCAGGAAGCUGCUUAUUAAAACUGGCCUGUAAAUCUAGCGCGGACAGCUUCCGGCCUUAUUACAUCGUGGUUCUAAUGAAGCUGUCAAUCCUUCGGAAAAUGCAAGUGACCUCUUUUUAUGCAAACCAUUUUAAUGCCCUCUCGGGACCGGUGGAGUUUGUAGAGAAGGUGCCAAAUCAUCACACUUAGUCAAACACCUAUAGCCUACCUCUCAAUUCAAAAUUUAUUGUGUUUAUGAACACAGUACAUCAUUCAAGCGUGUUUGACGAUACAAGAGGGUUUUCUUCUUUGUUUUUCUAUGUCACGAUGAAAUAUUUUAAAUAGAUGUUGAAUUGAUGGAUUUAAUUAUUGUGUUGACAGAUACUGACAAGAUACAAAUCUCAAUCAUUAUAAUCCAUUCACAAUAAAUAUUCCAUCCACACGUCCUUCACAUGAAAAGAAAAUGGGUUGUGAUACAAUGUGCUAGCCACACAAUUCUCAAUUGCUCUCAUAUAAUAAUAUGAAGUGAUAUUUAAGGCUGGAGUGGCUCUUAAAUCUUGACUUUAUGACUGAUAGAUGCCAGUGUCAAAAGAAAUCCAGAGCUAUUCCGUGAUUACAAAUCAAAUGUAACACUUUCAAUCCAGGAUCUCAACCAGAAUUUGUUUUCACGGUUGUGUAAUUGAAACAAGCUGUGCUCCAGAAGGCCUGGAUGCUGCCAGUCAGUCACACAUAUAGGAAACCAAUCCUGUCACAAACUACAUAGGGUGAAUAAAUGUGUCCACACAACUGGUGCCAUGAAACACACGAGAUACUGGGACGGCUGUAAAACACAGCGGAACAAGAAGUGACUGGGUCUCCCCCCGGCAGGAGACGUGUUUAACAGGAGCCAAACCUCCACGGCUACACUACUGCUGUAACUACACAAAAGAAUACAAAUACAAGACUACUCCUUACUUUGGAAUAAUCCCGUCAUUUGUAAAGGGGAAAAAACAAUUCUAUGGGGUACAAGGCUGGCAAAAGGAAUACAUGCUGUCAAAGAUAUAUAUGAAGAUGCGGUAUUUAGAUCAUUUGAGAGCCUUAAAGGAAAAUGUAAGUUAGAUGUAAGAUGUAUGUGCAUAUCUAUGUGAACUGUGUGUGUGUGUGUGUGUGUGUGUGUGUGUGUGUGUGUGUGUGUAUAUAUUCUUAUGUAUAUUGAUGGUAAUGGUUGGUUGAUUUUUAAUGCAUAUCUGAAAAUCGAUAAAAAAAAUUUGAUCACAAAAGAAUUAUGUUCUGUAAUCAUUUCCAGUGCUUACAGAGCAGGGCCCACUUGUAUCACAAUGGCUGCUUAUUGUUAUGCUGAUCUAUACUGAUCCCAUUAGUUUGUAGGUGAUUUUAUUUAUGAACCUUUGUGCGUUCUAAAAUAUCUUACUUAUUUCCUUUUUUGCAUGAAAACAGCUCUCUGUAUCUGGAAGCAACUGGUUGACAGUGAAUUGAAACAGAAGAGGGUCUGGGCUUAUACAACCAAAUCAAAAUGAACUGAGGGACAUUUUGAGGGUGCAUGAAGCCACGAUGAGCUGCACAGAGAGUUUGUAUGUAACAGACAUUCAAUUCUUCUAAACAUGUUUUGGCAAGGUGAUUUUCUUCAGUUGUUAGUGAGGCACUUCUGGCUGAAAUAAAAAGACACUAAAAUAUAACUAUCGUGCCAGGCAGCUUCAAUGGAAGAUACAAAGUUGCACAUGAGCACAGUUUCCUUGUGUACAAAUUAGAUAUUUAUGCCAUUAGCCAGUCUCAUUAAAAGUGUCUGUCAUGAACAUGUGUUUAUUUCAAGCUGUGCUGUUGUGUUACUGAAUAAGCCAGAGACAAUAUUGAUGGUGGUUGCAUGUUCUAUCAGUGCUGAUGAUGUUCCCAUCAGUUUCUGAUGGAGGACAACAACAGUCAGAAACUCUCUAGAGCCUCUUUAAUAUCAGUUUUUUCAAACAUUUAAUGCAAAAUUCCUUGAAUGUGUUUGGAAUCUUGGGAAAUCUUAAUAAUUAAGAGGUUCGUUAUGACUUUAAAGACAACAGAAAUCUUUAAAGGCCACAAAAUUCUCAAAAAUAGGUAAACAGGAAGAUUGGAAUAUAAAACAUUUUGUAUUCAUCUAAAAGUGUAUUGAUAAGGAGAAAAUAAAUACAACAAAAUAGACAUG